UCAAUCAAAGAAGAGGAAGUGCAGACCACACUAAUGCAUCACCGAUUCACCUUGCUGCUAAGUGAUUGCCUAUUCAGUACCAGUGCUUGUUACCCACUAUGCAUUUUGAUGUGUUUAAAGCAUGAUCAAACAAGCAAACGACGGAAUGCUUUUUCUGAAACAAGACCUUAACUUUGUGGCGCAUGGGUCGCUUGUUUACUUGAGGGAUCAGCUAUUAGCGCUGCGCUACCGCAGUGUAGCAUUAUGAUGCUAACGGAGUCCUGGCUAACACCGCAAACUCCGGACAUGAGUGUGGAGCUGCCUGGUUUCCAGAUGUUGCGGGCGGACAGGACGAGAGACAGCGGUGGGAGGAAAGGAGGGGGACUGAGCAGUGUUUGUUAAAGACAGUUGUGGUAUCCCUGGGCACAUUGCUGUGAAAGAACAACUCUGCAACAGAGACAUUGAGCUAUUAGCCGUUAGCAUCCGUGGAGGCAGCCUGUGACUCUCUGUGGUCCGCAGACUGCAAACGCAAUCUCUUCUUCUAAUAUCAGGGGACUUUAAUCAUGUCUCGCUGGACUCCACACUGCCCACCUUCACCCAUUAUGUGACCUGCCCCACCGUAGGCAAUAAAACAUUGUACUUAAUGUAUGCCAAUGAAAAAGUGGCAUACAGUUCAUCACCUCUCCCUGCCCAGGGAAGAUCUGAUCGUAACCUAGUGCACCUUGUCCCUGUGUGCAGCACUUAGUGUGCAGUGCAGAGAUGCUUCGCGGAGGGCAUAAUCAAGCAAAUAAAUGACAGAAUGCUUUUUAUUUCAUGUCGACGUGCAAUUUAUGUAUAGUUGACCAGGAAAUUAAAGCAGCGAUCACUUGGACUAUUCCGUAGCACCCCUCUCACAGUGGUACAUCCCUCCAGGUAACCAUUCACAAGUCUUGUACAGUAGAGCGGGACAUUACGUUUACGCUCAGCGGAAUUCACCCGAGAAGGCAUAUAAGUUCCUGCACUGCACUGGCCUUCACCACGAUUAGUAUAAGGUGGAGUAAUGCACGAAUGGAUAAAAAAGAGUGAGAGGUUAUCAGCUGUUGAGGAGCAAAUGGAGAUCCGUGUCCAGGGGAGUGGGGUUAUUGCGAGUGUGAAAGGUUGUCCAGGAAGUAACUAAGACGACAUCAACAGAGAGGUGGUGAUCCUCGGUGGAGUGAUGAAGUAGAGCAGCCAGCACCCCAAGUAGAGCAGGCACUGUGGAAAAAUAGUUGUGACUCAACCAGACCAUUACAAAGUAUGGCCUGGAGGAUUUUCAUCUCAAGGUGCAAGAACAUUCUUAAUGACUGUACACGGCAGCUGCUGAUGGACGAUGUUGGGCCAGAUGUGCUACAGUUAGCGUUAAGGAGGUUGGAGACAGUGCAGAGAAGCCUUCGGUGGGCAAGAGGAAGACUGAUCAAUGUAACUGCAGCAGAUCAACUUCUGCGUGACUUGGCUGAAUUGAUUCAGGAGGUCGAACUGUCUACUCAGCAUGGCCAACAAGGCUGUUUUGGAUACCAGGCACCAGUGGUUUUCAACAGAGGUAGAGGUAGAUCCCUUUACCUUAUCACUCGGGAACAGCUGUCAUUCCUGAAGUCAUGUGGAUUCACUGCACCUCAGAUGGCUGAUAUUUUGAAUGUUUCACUUCGUACAAUUCGAAGACGUCUGUGACAGUAUCAUUUCACCCGUGCAUCAAUGUAUGCGGAACUGACUGACAGUGCCUUGGAUGAACAUGUGCAGGACAUUGUUGCUGGCAAUGAACACAUUGGUCCUGAGGCUGUCAGAGCCUCCCUGCGAGUACGUGGACUACAUGUACAGCGAAGGAGGGUUCGAGCAAGCAUGUUACGGAUAAAUCCUGGAGCAGCUGCCCUUAGAGCAGUUUUGCGGAGACCAGAACGAAGAACAUAUCAGGUUGCAGGUCCAAACUCAUUGUGGCACAUUGAUGGAAAUCACAAGCUGAUAAGGUGGAGGAUAGUCAUUCAUGGGGCUAUUGAUGGAUACAGUCGUCUUGUGGUCUUCCUUCAUGCCUCAAACAACAACCGUAGCAGUACCGUUUUAUCAAGUUUCAUCAGAGCCGUGGUAUCCUAUGGUGUACCCUCGAGGGUCCGGACAGACAGAGGAGGGGAAAACAAUGCUGUCUGCCUGAUGAUGAACAUUUUCAGAGGCUUUGAUCGUGGAA